UGCCAGCCGCCGCGGUAAUACGUAGGGUGCAAGCGUUGUUCGGAUUUACUGGGCGUAAAGGGCGUGUAGGCGGAAAGAUAAGCAGGAGGUGAAAUCCCGGGGCUCAACCCCGGAACUGCUUCCUGAACUGUAUUUCUAGAGAGGGUCAGAGGUUAGUGGAAUUCCUGGUGUAGAGGUGAAAUUCGUAGAUAUCAGGAGGAACACCGGUGGCGAAGGCAUCUCUCUGGACCGAUACUGACGCUAAGGCGCGAAGGCGUGGGUAGCGAACAGGAUUAGAUA
rnacentral:rRNA from 1 species